rnacentral:rRNA from 1 species
CGGGACACGUGGUAUCCUGUCUGAAUAUGGGGGGACCAUCCUCCAAGGCUAAAUACUCCUGACUGACCGAUAGUGAACCAGUACCGUGAGGGAAAGGCGAAAAGAACCCCGGCGAGGGGAGUGAAAAAGAACCUGAAACCGUGUACGUACAAGCAGUGGGAGCACGCUUAGGCGUGUGACUGCGUACCUUUUGUAUAAUGGGUCAGCGACUUAUAUUCUGUAGCAAGGUUAACCGAAUAGGGGAGCCGAAGGGAAACCGAGUCUUAACUGGGCGUUAAGUUGCAGGGUAUAGACCCGAAACCCGGUGAUCUAGCCAUGGGCAGGUUGAAGGUUGGGUAACACUAACUGGAGGACCGAACCGACUAAUGUUGAAAAAUUAGCGGAUGACUUGUGGCUGGGGGUGAAAGGCCAAUCAAACCGGGAGAUAGCUGGUUCUCCCCGAAAGCUAUUUAGGUAGCGCCUCGUGAAUUCAUCUCCGGGGGUAGAGCACUGUUUCGGCAAGGGGGUCAUCCCGACUUACCAACCCGAUGCAAACUGCGAAUACCGGAGAAUGUUAUCACGGGAGACACACGGCGGGUGCUAACGUCCGUCGUGAAGAGGGAAACAACCCAGACCGCCAGCUAAGGUCCCAAAGUCAUGGUUAAGUGGGAAACGAUGUGGGAAGGCCCAGACAGCCAGGAUGUUGGCUUAGAAGCAGCCAUCAUUUAAAGAAAGCGUAAUAGCUCACUGGUCGAGUCGGCCUGCGCGGAAGAUGUAACGGGGCUAAACCAUGCACCGAAGCUGCGGCAGCGACGCUGAUGCGUUGUUGGGUAGGGGAGCGUUCUGUAAGCCUGUGAAGGUGUGCUGUGAGGCAUGCUGGAGGUAUCAGAAGUGCGAAUGCUGACAUAAGUAACGAUAAAGCGGGUGAAAAGCCCGCUCGCCGGAAGACCAAGGGUUCCUGUCCAACGUUAAUCGGGGCAGGGUGAGUCGACCCCUAAGGCGAGGCCGAAAGGCGUAGUCGAUGGGAAACAGGUUAAUAUUCCUGUACUUGGUGUUACUGCGAAGGGGGGACGGAGAAGGCUAUGUUGGCCGGGCGACGGUUGUCCCGGUUUAAGCGUGUAGGCUGGUUUUCCAGGCAAAUCCGGAAAAUCAAGGCUGAGGCGUGAUGACGAGGCACUACGGUGCUGAAGCAACAAAUGCCCUGCUUCCAGGAAAAGCCUCUAAGCAUCAGGUAACAUCAAAUCGUACCCCAAACCGACACAGGUGGUCAGGUAGAGAAUACCAAGGCGCUUGAGAGAACUCGGGUGAAGGAACUAGGCAAAAUGGUGCCGUAACUUCGGGAGAAGGCACGCUGAUA